UGGCUACUGGCAUAAGAGGACAGUGAGAAAUGUGAACGCUGCAGUGCCAGCCAACAGAAGAUGGUCCUGAACCAAAAGCCAAGAAUCUUUCAGUGGUGUUGACAGAUAAAACAGAGUAGUUCGGCGAGACACCCGUGAAUUGCAAAAAAAUAAAAUGUAAGUAGUAUUGAAGAAUUGCUGGAAUCACAGGAAAAGCCAUUCAAAACGAGAUUUUGGCAGGUAAACCAGUUAACAUUUGAAUUAGGAAAGUCAAGAAAAGACGAUGAUGAAUGAAAGGCUUAUGGAUAAAUAUCAAGGACGUGUGAAAGAUUCUUAAGAAAAUUAGUGAAACUGUCAAGUAUUUUUUUUUUAAUAGAGACACAGCCUCACUGUGUUGUACAGUGCUCAGGCUGGAGUACAGCGGUGAUCAUAGUUCACUGCAGCCUCGGACUCCUGGGCUCGAGAGAUCCUCCUGCCAUUGCCUCCUGAGCAGCUGGGUCGACAGGUGUAC
rnacentral:lncRNA from 10 species